CAGGUGCUGCAUGGCUGUCGUCAGCUCGUGUCGUGAGAUGUUCGGUUAAGUCCGCUAACGAGCGCAACCCUCGCUGUGUGUUACAAGUGUCACACGGUACUGCCGGGUCUUAGGCCGGAGGAAGGUGGGGAUGACGUCAAGUCAGCAUGGCCUUUAUGUCCUGGGCUACACACACGCUACAAUGGCCAACACAAUAGGUUGCUAAGCCGCGAGGUGGAGCCAAUCCUCAAAGUUGGUCUCAGUUCAGAUUGCAGGCUGCAACCCGCCUGCAUGAAGAUGGAGUUGCUAGUAACCGCAGGUCAGCUAUACUGCGGUGAAUACGUUCCCGGGGCUU
rnacentral:rRNA from 1 species